rnacentral:rRNA from 1 species
GAUGAACGCUAGCUACAGGCUUAACACAUGCAAGUCGAGGGGCAGCAUGGUCUUAGCUUGCUAAGGCCGAUGGCGACCGGCGCACGGGUGAGUAACACGUAUCCAACCUGCCGUCUACUCUUGGACAGCCUUCUGAAAGGAAGAUUAAUACAAGAUGGCAUCAUGAGUCCGCAUGUUCACAUGAUUAAAGGUAUUCCGGUAGACGAUGGGGAUGCGUUCCAUUAGAUAGUAGGCGGGGUAACGGCCCACCUAGUCUUCGAUGGAUAGGGGUUCUGAGAGGAAGAUCCCCCACAUUGGAACUGAGACACGGUCCAAACUCCUACUGGAGGCAGCAGUGAGGAAUAUUGGUCAAUGGGCGAGAGCCUGAACCAGCCAAGUAGCGUGAAGGAUGACUGCCCUAUGGGUUGUAAACUUCUUUUAUAAAGGAAUAAAGUCGGGUAUGGAUACCCGUUUGCAUGUACUUUAUGAAUAAGGAUCGGCUAACUCCGUG